UAGAACCAGGUAGGACCCACAAUAUUAGGUACAACUAGCUAGUACCGGGUAGGACCAAUUUUAUUAGGUACACCUAGCUAGAACCAGGUAGGACCCACAAUAUUAGGUACAACUAGCUAGUACCGGGUAGGACCAAUUUUAUUAGGUACACCUAGCUAGAACCAGGUAGGACCCACAAUAUUAGGUACAACUAGCUAGUACCGGGUAGGACCAAUUUUAUUAGGUACACCUAGCUAGAACCAGGUAGGACCCACAAUAUUAGGUACAACUAGCUAGUACCAGGUAGGACCCAUUUUAUUAGGUACACCUAGCUAGAACCAGGUAGGACCCACAAUAUUAGGUACAACUAGCUAGUACCGGGUAGGACCAAUUUUA